GGCGGCAUGCUUACCAUGCCGUCGAAGGCAGCACGGGAGCAAUCCUGGUGGCGAGUGGCGAAGGGUGAGUAAUAUAUCGGAACGUGCCCAGUCGUGGGGGAUAACGUACGAAAGCUACGCUAUACCGCAUACAAUCUAUGGAUGAAAGCGGGGGAUCGCAAGACCUCCGCGAUUGGAGCGGCCGAUAUCAGAUUAGGUAGUUGGUGAGGUAAAGGCUCACCAAGCCGACGAUCUGUAGCUGGUCUGAGAAGACGACCAGCCACACUGGGACUGAGACACGGCCCAGACUCCUACGGGAGGCAGCAGUGGGGAAUUUUGGACAAUGGGCGCAACCUGAUCCAGCAAUGCCGCGU
rnacentral:rRNA from 1 species